rnacentral:lncRNA from 1 species
AUGAACGAACAUCCCUUGCCACAAAGGACCACGUGGCUCCAUGCUCACGCCAUCCAGCGCCAGUCUCACACGCACGUCGCCAGUCUCACGCCACGCACACAGGGCCAUGCAAGUAUCGUUUUCAAUGGAGAUUUAAAUGCUGCUUUAAAAUGUUGCUAUGAUUUGAUCCGUUGUUGGCUUCCAAAAGUUACUGACUAUGAUUUUCUUACCUGAGCUCAUUCUGUGAUCUCUCCCUCUUUCAUUCUCUCUCUCUCUGUCUCUCUCUCUCUCCUUCUCUCCCUCAUUUGGAUUCCGUUAGGUCUUGUAAAAAGUUUACUGUCUGUAUUGUCGUAUGCAUAUUUACUCUGUGUGAUUUGUAGCUUGAUGUAUUAUUAGUUCAGUUAUUAAAAACCCAUAAAUUCAUGAUUGCCUUGGCCUCCACACCACUCACAUUACGAGUCACUGAGAUGUCUGAUCUUUAGCUACAAGCUUUAAAUUUAGAAACUAAAUUUAUCAUAAGGAUAGGAUAAUGUUUUCAUGGCCAGAGAAUAUUUUUCCCUGAAUUAUAAGAAGUGAUAACUUUAUUGAAAAUUGAUAGGUCAAUCUGGUUUGCUGGACAAACCACUGUUUGAUUUGCAGUAAUUUACAGUAAGAGAUAUCACAAUAAUUGAUAUGAAGAAUGGAAUAUUGACAUAUUAAUGAGUAAGUUACAGUGCCCUGUAAUUAGUUAUUGGUAUAGACUAUUGAGCUAUUUUUCAUAAUCAAUACAAUUUAUUGUAACUGUCAUAUGAGAUAUAAAUAUUAAUCAUAUUCCUGAUUAAUUAUUCAAAUUCCCUAUAUAUCAUUUGAGUUAAUUAUUCUGUACAACCCAUUGUUGCUACAUUGCAUACAGUUAGUGUUGGCGGUAUGGUUAUGUUCAGGGCAACACUCCACACGCCUGUCCAUGCAGCCAUGCUUGGACAGAGCGGGGAGAGCAGCAAGACAACCCCCCUGGGCCUGGGGUACAGAACAGAACCAUUAUAAGCAUACAUAAUUACAAUUCUCAAUUACAUGAGUUGUAAACAAAAUGUCAUGGAGACUGCUUCCAAUGAAGACACUGUAAAGAAAGUCAGAUCAGAUAAAAGGUUCAGUGGGUGGAGUUGGGGUUGGAAGAGGGAGUUAAUUGCAAGCAGCAAUGCGAUGGAGAGACACUGAAUAAUGGGAAUUUAAAUAGACCGCAGGUGAUAGGUGUCAAGACUGGAUUGGUACACGUCAGUAACAGCUGACUGUCAGCUGAUGCAAGCAUGACUAUCAUGACCUGACUGAACUAACGUGAUGCUGGAUAUUUAAUUGGUAGAAAUUUCUGAGUAACUUUUGUAUUAUUCUGUAGAAUUUGCAACUUAACUGAUUAAAGAUGUAUUUAAACCUCUCUCUCUCUCUCUCUCUCUCUAUAUAUAUAUAUAUAUAUAUAUAUAUAUAUAUAGGAAGGAUAAGGAAGGAAAACAUUCAUAAUCCACUGAGCUCAAAAGUCUGAGAGAGUAGUUGUGAUAUAAAAAUGUGGAUGUAAAAUCU